rnacentral:misc_RNA from 1 species
GGGGAAGUCGAGGAGGACCCAGAGGGAGAAUGGGUGAUGGACACAUGGACAGAAGUAGAUCACCAAUACGACAGAGACCAGAUAGGGGAAGACCAGACAGGGAUUUUAGCAGGUCAGACAGAGGAGGGAGAGAUGGUUUUGAUGGUCCACAAAGGCGCGAUUUUGGAGGGGAUCGUUACGGUGGAAUGGAUCGUGGUGCACCACCCAGAUCUCGGGAUCCACCCAUGUCUCGUGGAAGAGACUACUCCCCCAGUUCUAGAGACUUCGGUAGAGGAAGUGCUCCGGACAGGAUGAGCAGGGGGUCAGCCAGAGACUUCCAAUCCUCCCGCUAUGACCCUCCACCACGAGAUUUCUCCCCUCCCCCCAGGGAUUUUCAUUCCUCCAGAGACAUGAUCAUUGAAAGAGGACCCACAUCAAGAGAUAGGAUGUCAACAAGAGAUUACGGGUCUCCACAAAACACUCGAGACUUUGGAGGGAGCAUGUCUAGAGGUGGUUCCUCCAUGUAUGCGGGGUCACGUGACCAGGGUAUGGGCAGUAGAGAGGUCUAUGUUGGAGGAAGAGACAGAGAUCUUCCAUCAUCUAGAGAUUACAUGACAUCAAGAGAAUUCAGCAGUCGUGGAGGAUCUUCAAGAGGAGGGCUGUCCAGAGGGGGUGGGGAAUUUGACAGAGGCCAGCCAUUGGACGAUUCAUACAGAGAUUCUGGGAGAGGAGGACCCCUCAGCCGUGGUCCACCAAGCCGAGGUUUCAGCAGCAUGGGCUCUCAGAGAGACAGUGGACGUCCUUCACACGAUAUGUACGAAUCGUCAAACAGAGGCCAGUCUCGUGGCGGUCCGCCCUCCAACCGAGGCCCGCCUUCCCGAGGACCACCCCCUAGAGGGGUACCCUCUCGCGGACCCCCUCCCAGGGAUGACAGGGACAGAGGAGGUUAUUCCACUGGGCAGAGACGCCCUUCAAACAUGGAUUCCAGAGGAGGAGGACCCCCCAUGAAGCGAGCCAGACCUAGUGGCAUGUCCUCCCGCGGAUCUAUGCGGCGAUAAGCAUUUUGUAUUCAAUUACAUUUUCUUUGGAAGAAAAUAUUUUGUUUUUUCGAGAUAUAGAAAAAUUUGAAUUAUUAUUUUUUUUGUUUUAAAUGUUUUUUGAAAAUUUUUGUUCUCGAGAAUAUGCAUUUUUUGUAAAGUAAAAUUUUUUUAAAACAUGUACAUUAACCUACCAUUAUAUAAUUUGUGUAAAUGAAAGAAAUCAGUUAUCAAGCUGGUCAUGUUUAUAGAGAUAUAAUACAAGAAAUAAUAAACAAAAUACCUAG